UACGUAGGGGGCAAGCGUUGUCCGGAAUUAUUGGGCGUAAAGAGCGUGUAGGCGGCCAGAUAAGUCCGCUGUGAAAACUCGAGGCUUAACCUCGAGAUGUCAUCGGAAACCAUUUGGCUAGAGUCCGGAAGAGGAGAGUGGAAUUCCUGGUGUAGCGGUGAAAUGCGCAGAUAUCGGGAGGAACACCGGUGGCGAAGGCGGUUCUCUGGGCCUUACCUGACGCUGAGGAGCGAAAGCGUGGGGAGCGAACAGG
rnacentral:rRNA from 1 species